rnacentral:lncRNA from 1 species
UUAAGUCCGCAGACUCAACUCGGAUUAGUUCGUUAUUUGCGCACCUCAAAUCGAUAGUCUUGCUUUUGCAAUUCACAACCGCAUCAUGCGCGGUUAACCAAUCCAAACCAAGAAUAACAUCAAACUCGUCGAACGGCAAAAGCAUCAAAUCGGCCGAAAAACAGGAUUCUCGGAUUAUUAGAGGGCAUCUCUUACACACUUUAUCAACAAGUACGCAUUGACCCAAAAGGUUUGAUACUCGAAUUACGAGCUCAGUAGACUCAACAGGUAGAGUCUUACUGGUUGCUAAGGUUUC